UAGAUGAUGUGAUGGUUGCAGCUC
rnacentral:siRNA from 1 species